AGUCAAGUAAUUAAGUGCAUGUGGUGGAUGCCUUGGCAGUCAGAGGCGAUGAAAGACGUGAUAGCCUGCGAAAAGCUCCGGGGAGGCGGCAAAUAUCCUUUGAUCCGGAGAUGUCUGAAUGGGGGAACCCACCUACUUUAAGGUAGGUAUUGCAACAUGAAUACAUAGUGUUGCAAGGCGAACGAGGGGAAGUGAAACAUCUCAGUACCCUUAGGAAAAGAAAUCAAUUGAGAUUCCCUCAGUAGCGGCGAGCGAACGGGGAUCAGCCCAUUAAGUUAUGUGUGUUUUAGUGGAACGCUCUGGGAAGUGCGAACGUAGAGGGUGAUAUUCCCGUACACGAAAGGGCACACAUAAUGAUGACGAGUAGGGCGAGGCACGUGAAACCUUGUCUGAAUAUGGGGGGACCAUCCUCCAAGGCUAAAUACUCCUGACUGACCGAUAGUGAACCAGUACCGUGAGGGAAAGGCGAAAAGAACCCCUGUGAGGGGAGUGAAAUAGAUCCUGAAACCGCAUGCAUACAAGCAGUGGGAGCACCUUCGUGGUGUGACUGCGUACCUUUUGUAUAAUGGGUCAGCGACUUAUAUUCAGUAGCGAGGUUAACCGUAUAGGGGAGCCGUAGAGAAAUCGAGUCUUAAUAGGGCGUUUAGUUGCUGGGUAUAGACCCGAAACCAGGCGAUCUAUCCAUGAGCAGGUUGAAGGUUGGGUAACACUAACUGGAGGACCGAACCCACUGUCGUUGAAAAGCCAGGGGAUGACUUGUGGAUAGGGGUGAAAGGCUAAUCAAGCCUGGUGAUAGCUGGUUCUCCCCGAAAGCUAUUUAGGUAGCGCCUCGGACGAAUACCAUAGGGGGUAGAGCACUGUUUCGGCUAGGGGGUCAUCCCGACUUACCAAACCGAUGCAAACUCCGAAUACCUAUGAGUACUAUCCGGGAGACAGACUGCGGGUGCUAACGUCCGUAGUCAAGAGGAAAACAAUCCAGACCGCCAGCUAAGGCCCCAAAAUCAUAGUUAAGUGGGAAACGAUGUGGGAAGGCAUAGACAGCUAGGAGGUUGGCUUAGAAGCAGCCACCCUUUAAAGAAAGCGUAAUAGCUCACUAGUCGAGUCGGCCUGCGCGGAAGAUGUAACGGGGCUAAAACUAUGUGCCGAAGCUGCGGAUGUAUACUUUGUAUACGUGGUAGGGGAGCGUUCUGUAAGCCGAUGAAGGUGUGUUGAGAAGCAUGCUGGAGGUAUCAGAAGUGCGAAUGCUGACGUGAGUAACGACAAAACGGGUGAAAAACCCGUUCGCCGAAAGACCAAGGGUUCCAGUCCAACGUUAAUCGGGGCUGGGUGAGUCGACCCCUAAGGCGAGGCCGAAAGGCGUAGUCGAUGGGAAAAUGGUUAAUAUUCCAUUACUUCUGUGUAAUGCGAUGAGAGGACGGAGAAGGCUAAAUCAGCCUGGCGUUGGUUGUCCAGGUGAAAGGAUGUAGGCAUGUAUCUUAGGCAAAUCCGGGGUACUCUAUGCUGAGAUCUGAUAGCAAGCUGUACUUGUACAGCGAAGUGUUGAUGCCAUGCUUCCAGGAAAAGUCUCUAAGCUUCAGUUACACAGGAAUCGUACCCGAAACCGACACAGGUGGUCAGGUCGAGUAGACCAAGGCGCUUGAGAGAACUCUGCUGAAGGAACUAGGCAAAAUGGUACCGUAACUUCGGGAGAAGGUACGCUGUUGUUGGUGAUGGAACUCGCUUCCUGAGCUGACGACAGCCGCAGAAACCAGGCCGCUGCAACUGUUUAUUAAAAACAUAGCACUCUGCAAACACGAAAGUGGACGUAUAGGGUGUGAUGCCUGCCCGGUGCUGGAAGGUUAAUUGAUGGGGUUAGCGUAAGCGAAGCUCUUGAUCGAAGCCCCAGUAAACGGCGGCCGUAACUAUAACGGUCCUAAGGUAGCGAAAUUCCUUGUCGGGUAAGUUCCGACCUGCACGAAUGGCAUAAUGAUGGCGGCGCUGUCUCCAGCAGAGGCUCAGUGAAAUCGAAAUCGCUGUGAAGAUGCAGUGUACCCGCGGCUAGACGGAAAGACCCCGUGAACCUUUACUGCAGCUUGACACUGAACUUUGACCUUACUUGUGUAGGAUAGGUGGGAGGCUUUGAAGCUGGAACGCUAGUUCCAGUGGAGCCGUCCUUGAAAUACCACCCUGGUAAUGUUGAGGUUCUAACUCUGUCCCGUGAUCCGGGACGAGGACCGUGUCUGGUGGGUAGUUUGACUGGGGCGGUCUCCUCCUAAAGAGUAACGGAGGAGUACGAAGGUGCGCUCAGCGUGGUCGGAAAUCACGCGUAGAGUAUAAAGGCAAAAGCGCGCUUAACUGCGAGACCCACAAGUCGAGCAGGUACGAAAGUAGGUCUUAGUGAUCCGGUGGUUCUGUAUGGAAGGGCCAUCGCUCAACGGAUAAAAGGUACUCUGGGGAUAACAGGCUGAUACCGCCCAAGAGUUCAUAUCGACGGCGGUGUUUGGCACCUCGAUGUCGGCUCAUCUCAUCCUGGGGCUGAAGCAGGUCCCAAGGGUAUGGCUGUUCGCCAUUUAAAGAGGUACGCGAGCUGGGUUUAGAACGUCGUGAGACAGUUCGGUCCCUAUCUACCGUGGGCGCUGGAAAUUUGAGAGGAUCUGCUCCUAGUACGAGAGGACCAGAGUGGACGAACCUCUGGUGUACCGGUUGUGACGCCAGUCGCAUCGCCGGGUAGCUAUGUUCGGAAGGGAUAACCGCUGAAAGCAUCUAAGCGGGAAGCCUACCUCAAGAUAAGAUUUCCCUAGGACUUUAUGUCCUCUAAAGAGCCGUUCGAGACUAGGACGUUGAUAGGUUGGAUGUGGAAGCAUAGUGAUAUGUGAAGCUGACCAAUACUAAUUGCUCGUGAGGCUUGACUAUACAACACCC
rnacentral:rRNA from 1 species